rnacentral:tRNA from 1 species
AUUCAUUUAUUAUAAAAAGUAUAUAAAGCUUCCAACUUUAAGGUUUAAUUUAAAAUGAAUA